GACGAACGCUGGCGGCGUGCCUAAUACAUGCAAGUAGAACGCUGAAGGAGGAGCUUGCUUCUCUGGAUGAGUUGCGAACGGGUGAGUAACGCGUAGGUAACCUGCCUGGUAGCGGGGGAUAACUAUUGGAAACGAUAGCUAAUACCGCAUAAUAGCAGUUAUUGCAUGAUAACUGUUUGAAAGGUGCAAUUGCACCUCUACCAGAUGGACCUGCGUUGUAUUAGCUAGUUGGUGGGGUAACGGCUCACCAAGGCGACGAUACAUAGCCGACCUGAGAGGGUGAUCGGCCACACUGGGACUGAGACACGGCCCAGACUCCUACGGGAGGCAGCAGUAGGGAAUCUUCGGCAAUGGACGGAAGUCUGACCGAGCAACGCCGCGUGAGUGAAGAAGGUUUUCGGAUCGUAAAGCUCUGUUGUAAGAGAAGAACGAGUGUGAGAGUGGAAAGUUCACACUGUGACGGUAUCUUACCAGAAAGGGACGGCUAACUACGUG
rnacentral:rRNA from 1 species